GACGAACGCUGGCGGCGUGCCUAACACAUGCAAGUCGAACGGACAGGCCCUGCUCUUGUGGGGUGCUCGAGUGGCGAACGGGUGAGUAACACGUGUGUAAACUGUCCUUGUAUUUGGGAUAACUUUAGGAAACUGGGGCUCAUAUAGGAUAGGAGAUCCUGCUGCAUGGUGGGGGUUGGAAAGUUUGGGCGGUUGGGGAUGGACUCGCGGCUUAUCAGCUUGUUGGUGGAGUAGUGGCUUACCAAGGUUUUGACGGGUAGCCGGCCUGAGAGGGUGACCGGGGACAAGGGGACUGAGGGACGGCCCAGACGCCAACGGGAGGCAGCGGGGGGGAAUAUUGCACAGUGGGGGGAAGCCUGUGACAGCAAUGCCGGGUUCGGGAAGACGUCUUACGAGUUAUGAACCGCUUUCGCCUGUGACGAAGCGUGAGUGACGGUAAUGGGUAAAGAAGCACCGGCUAACUACGUG
rnacentral:rRNA from 1 species